rnacentral:rRNA from 1 species
AGUGAACGCUGGCGGUAGGCCUAACACAUGCAAGUCGAACGGCAGCACAGUAAGAUCUUGCUCUUACGGGUGGCGAGUGGCGGACGUGUGAGGUAUACAUCGUACUCUACUUUUUCGUGGGGGUUCACGUAGGUAAACUUACUCUAAUACCGCAUACGACCUACGGUUGAAAGCAUUGGAUCUUCUGACCUUGCGCGAUUGAAUGAGCGGAUGUCGUGUUAGCUAGUUGGCGGGGUAAAGGCCCAGCAAGGCGCCGAUCCGUAGCUGGUCUGAGAGGAGGGUCAGCGACACUGGAACUGAGACACGGUCCAGACGACUACGGGAGGCAGCAGUGGGGAAUAUUGGACAGUGGGCGCAAGCAUGAUCCAGCCAUACCGCGUGGGUGAAGAAGGCCUUCGGGUUGGAAAGCCCUUUUGUGGGGAAAGAAAAGCAGCAGGUUAAUACGAAGCGGUUCUGACGGUACCGAAAGAAUAAGCACCGGCUAACUUCGUG